GUUCAGGUCCUAUGCAAGAAAACUUUUUCAAACCCUGCCAGGUCCGGAAGGAAGCAACAGUAGAUUAAGGUUUCUGUGCCGUAGUGUACCUGGGCUCU
rnacentral:SRP_RNA from 1 species